GGGCGGUUAGCUCAGUUGGGAGAGCAUCACGUUUACACCGUGAGGGUCGCCGGUUCGAGCCCGGCACCGCCCA
rnacentral:tRNA from 1 species